UAUACCAUAUGAUGUCGCGGGAUCACGUUAUGCAUGACGCGUACGCACGCGAUGCCCGUAAAUCCCUUCUCUCUCUCUUUAAUUACGUGCAAAUCGAUAAGCCAUUGGUGAGCUCCAUCUCUCUGUAAAUAAAUAUUCGAGGGACAAAUUUCUGAGAAGGGGGAAGCUCUACGGUUCAAGCCUUCGAGGUGAUAUUUGAUACGGUUUUGAAGCCACCGCACUCUCCCUCAAAUCGCCUGAAACCUCUUUGUGGAUAGGGACAGAACCCCAUUUACUGCACAGGUCCCUCUUUUGGAUAUCAACUUAGCCUUCCAUAAUGACAGCGUUUCAGGUCUUCAUCUUUUUGCCAUGGGAUUGAUCUCAAGGAGAGUAUGGAAUGAUAGAGCAAAUUGAGUUUCUUAAUUUUUGUUGCAGCUGAAAUAUACACUGCACAGUGGUACAAACAGAUUCCAGAUGCAAAUAUUAAUGAUGGUUGGGUGAUAAUACCUUUCUUCAGGAAAUGGGCAUGUGGAAAUUGGGUGAGUUGUAUGGGAUUGUAUACAAUGAGACCAUUUACCUUUGA